rnacentral:sRNA from 1 species
AAUUAUUAUAAAAUCUGAUUUAAGUGUUGACCAUAGCCUCCAGUUCCAGCCAGCUGCAAAGAUAAGCACAUUUGUAUUUGUGUGGACAAGUCUGCAGACUUCUUAUUGUUGUCUCAAGCCAGACAAUACAACCCUUUUAAAUAACAGUUCCUCAAAAGGUUACCAGCCAGUCUUGUCUGGUCAACAGGGAUUCCAAGGCCUAAUAGGAGUGCAGCAGCCACCUCAGAGUCAGAAUGUGAUGAAUAACCAACAAGGAACUCCGGUGCAAAGCGUGAUGGUUUCCUACCCAACAAUGUCUUCUUAUCAGGUGCCAAUGACCCAGGGUUCUCAAGGACUGCCCCAGCAGUCAUACCAACAGCCAAUCAUGCUACCUAACCAGGCAGGUCAAGGGUCACUCCCAGCCACUG